rnacentral:rRNA from 1 species
CGCCUGUUUAUCAAAAACAUCUCUUCUCGUUAGUUUUUGAAGUAUGGCCUGCCCACUGACCUUGAAUGUUGAAGGGCCGCGGUAUUUUGACCGUGCAAAGGUAGCAUAGUCAUUAGUUCUUUAAUUGUGAUCUGGUAUGAAUGGCUUGACGAGGCAUAAGCUGUCUUAAUUUUGAAUUGUUUAUUGAAUUUGGUCUUUGAGUUAAAAUUCUUAGAUGUUUUUAUGGGACGAGAAGACCCUAUAGAGUUUGACAUUUAUUAUGGUCUCUUUCUGUUUGUGAGGGUUCAUUAGGGCUGUUUAAUAUGUUUUGUUGGGGUGAUGGGAGGGAUAUUAUUUAACCCCUCCUUUGUGUUGUUAUAUUUAUUUAUAUUUGCUUGAUCCAUUUAUUUUGAUUGUAAGAUUAAAUUACCUUAGGGAUAACAGCGUAA